AAAAUUAUAAUAUAUUUCAGACAACAACACAAAUUUAUUCCUAGAAUUUUUUUGAAUUUUGAAAUUUGGAAUAUACCUUGUUAUUAGAAAAUAAGAAGCAAUUUCAGACAAAUCGUGAAGAAAACACAAAUAAACAUAUAUAUUUGUUAUCAUAUACACAAAAUACUUAACAUUACAUAGAUCUUUAUUAAAAAAAAAUUAACAUGACAUUUGAUCAACAUCUUUAAAAUAUCGUCGUUCGAUCUCAC
rnacentral:lncRNA from 1 species